rnacentral:tRNA from 1 species
GAGGGUAUAGCUCAAUGACAGAAUGCAUGCUUAGCAGGCACAAGGUCCUGGGUUCAAUCCCCAGUACCUCCA